rnacentral:rRNA from 1 species
GGAUGAAUGCUGGCGGUAUGCCUAACACAUGCAAGUCGUACGAGUAGUUUUAACUCUAGUGGCGGACGGGUGAGUAACACGUGAGAAUUUGCCUUUAGGAGGGGGAUAACAAUUGGAAACGAAUGCUAACACCCCAUAUGCUUUUGAGUGAAAUGGAUUUUAUCCGCCUAGAGAGAAGCUCGCGGCUGAUUAGCUUGUUGGUAAGGUAAGAGCUUACCAAGGCGACGAUCAGUAUCUGGUUUGAGAGGAUGAUCAGACACACUGGAACUGAGACACGGUCCAGACUCCUACGGGAGGCAGCAGUGGGGAAUUUUCCGCAAUGGGCGAAAGCCUGACGGAGCAAUCUCGCGUGGGGGAUGACGGCCUAUGGGUUGUAAACCUCUUUUUCAGGGAGGAACAAAAUGACGUGUACCUGAAGAAUAAGCAUCGGCUAACUCCGUG